rnacentral:rRNA from 1 species
GACGAACGCUGGCGGCGUGCCUAAUACAUGCAAGUUGAGCGCUGAAGGUUGGUACUUGUACCCACUGGAUGAGCAGCGAACGGGUGAGUAACGCGUGGGGAAUCUGCCUUUGAGCGGGGGACAACAUUUGGAAACGAAUGCUAAUACCGCAUAAAAACUUUAAACACAAGUUUUAAGUUUGAAAGAUGCAAUUGCAUCACUCAAAGAUGAUCCCGCGUUGUAUUAGCUAGUUGGUGAGGUAAAGGCUCACCAAGGCGAUGAUACAUAGCCGACCUGAGAGGGUGAUCGGCCACAUUGGGACUGAGACACGGCCCAAACUCCUACGGGAGGCAGCAGUAGGGAAUCUUCGGCAAUGGACGAAAGUCUGACCGAGCAACGCCGCGUGAGUGAAGAAGGUUUUCGGAUCGUAAAACUCUGUUGGUAGAGAAGAACGUUGGUGAGAGUGGAAAGCUCAUCAAGUGACGGUAACGACCCAGAAAGGGACGGCUAACUACGU